UAAGCCAAUUGGCCAAGUAAAAAGCCCCAAACCUAUCCCUUCUUUUCUAGCUCCAGCCGCCACCCUUCUCUUCUCCAUCUCCGUUCUUUAUCAAUCUUAUUUAGCUGGCGUUGUUUUUCUUUAUCAAAAAUGGCUGGCAAAGAUGUGGAAUUAGUAGAGCUCCAUUAACAAGCUAAGAGAUGUUGAUCAAGCUAAGAUGCAGAUGAAGAUAAUUGCAGGAAAGAAAGGAGAAGAUCGUACAACAUUGGGUCUCAAGCAAGAUAUUAGUACUAUAGUUGGUGUCAUCAAUUAUGUACUCUAAAUACUUUGAAAUUUAAAAAUACAAUUAUGUAUCAGUUGUAACUUAUUUGGAAUCUAAAAAAUGUGUAUUCCUAGUUACAUAUACAAAUAUUCUUGUACUAACAAAUCAUGUGAUAGAUUUUUCAAUUUAUAGCAAUAAAAUUACUGAAUUAGCAGCUAAA